GGUGAGUCCUAAACUGAAGUUAAUCUACACUACAGCAGCUGAGGAGCACGCGCCCGUCACCUGCAGAGGCUCGCGCCUGUCCAGCUCGACCCAUGCUACUGCCCUCUGCUGGCUGUGGAUGGCGUUGCGUAUGGCUGCCAGCAGCUCGUCGGUGCAGCUCCAGGUGUUGGGCUCCAGGGUGAAGUAGAGGAGGGGCAGCGUCUCCAGCUGUAGCUCCUCGGCCUGGCACACCUCCUCCAUGAUGCUGUCCUCGCCACAGCGUGGGAAGAACUUCCUGUUACCAGGUUCAGAGGGUCACAAGUUAGAGUAAAUAAUGCUCCACUAAAAACAGAAGAAUUUUCAGAUAUGUGAGCACACCUGGUGGACAGGUGUUGAAGUUCAGCCCAGACUCUGCAGGUUGCAGCAGCCUCUCGAUGAGUCCACGGGAGAGGAGCGACGGCGAGAAGAUGACCGGCCGCUUGCUCUGAACCUGAACCGGCUGCACCACGCUGUACGGGAUCAGGUGCUCCUCGUGACCUGAGAGGACGGUCACACGUUAACACCAAGUACACACUCACACACAUCCUGUUAAACACACACUACAUAUCUCUCUCUGUGUGGAGCUUUACGUUUGCUCAGCGUGAAGAGGACCGGCUGAGUGGAAGCGAUCCCACGGCCUCCAGGGUCCACCGCUUUGACCAAUCGUACGCGUCCAGAUCCUUUCUUCAUGAACUACAGGAAGGAGAAUAACAUCUGAUGUUUACUGAGGUCACAGAUAUGUUUUACUUUAAUGAAGCACAGUGUGUCAAACUGAGCCUGCUGUUCAUGUUGUGUCCGGAGAAGAUCAGCACCUUCUUCUUGAAGUCCUUUUGCUGCAGAGCCAUCUUACGAAGCCUCACGAGUAACAGCUGCUGCGCCCUGUGAGGAAGAUCCACGUUAUUCACACUCCUAGAUCUGAAUGUUUAGACACAGCAUGAGGGGAUCACUUUGACCGUACAGCACACUGAGGUUCACAUAAAGAAGAAGAACAUGCCCACUAAGUCUGCCUGAAAUCUGGGUGUCAUGAUCAAUGACCAGCUAACCUUCAGGGUUCAUGUUGCCUUGAUUGCUUGGUGGUGCCGUAACAUUGCAA